rnacentral:rRNA from 1 species
GUCGCGUCGUCUGUGAAAUUCCGGGGCUUAACUCCGGGCGUGCAGGCGAUACGGGCAUAACUUGAGUACUGUAGGGGUAACUGGAAUUCCUGGUGUAGCGGUGAAAUGCGCAGAUAUCAGGAGGAACACCGAUGGCGAAGGCAGGUUACUGGGCAGUUACUGACGCUGAGGAGCGAAAGCAUGGGUAGCGAACAGGAUUAGAUACCCUGGUAGUCCAUGCCGUAAACGGUGGGUGCUAGGUGUGAGGGUCUUUUCACGACUUUCGUGCCGUAGCUAACGCAUUAAGCGCCCCGCCUGGGGAGUACGGCCGCAAGGCUAAAACUCAAAGGAAUUGACGGGGGCCCGCACAAGCGGCGGAGCAUGUGGAUUAAUUCGAUGCAACGCGAAGAACCUUACCUGGGCUUGACAUACACUGGAUCGCUGCAGAGAUGUAGUUUCCCUUUGUGGCUGGUGUACAGGUGGUGCAUGGUUGUCGUCAGCUCGUGUCGUGAGAUGUUGGGUUAAGUCCCGCAACGAGCGCAACCCUUGUCUUAUGUUGCCAGCAUUUGGUUGGGGACUCAUGAGAGACUGCCGGGGUCAACUCGGAGGAAGGUGGGGAUGACGUCAAAUCAUCAUGCCCCUUAUGUCCAGGGCUUCACACAUGCUACAAUGGUCGGUACAACGCGCAGCGACACUGUGAGGUGGAGCGAAUCGCUGAAAGCCGGCCUUAGUUCGGAUUGGGGUCUGCAACUCGACCCCAUGAAGU